AGUGAACGCUGGCGGUAGGCCUAACACAUGCAAGUCGAACGGCAGCACAGGAGAGCUUGCUCUCUGGGUGGCGAGUGGCGGACGGGUGAGGAAUACAUCGGAAUCUACUUUUUCGUGGGGGAUAACGUAGGGAAACUUACGCUAAUACCGCAUACGACCUACGGGUGAAAGCAGGGGAUCUUCGGACCUUGCGCGAUUGAAUGAGCCGAUGUCGGAUUAGCUAGUUGGCGGGGUAAAGGCCCACCAAGGCGACGAUCCGUAGCUGGUCUGAGAGGAUGAUCAGCCACACUGGAACUGAGACACGGUCCAGACUCCUACGGGAGGCAGCAGUGGGGAAUAUUGGACAAUGGGCGCAAGCCUGAUCCAGCCAUACCGCGUGGGUGAAGAAGGCCUUCGGGUUGUAAAGCCCUUUUGUUGGGAAAGAAAUCCAGCUGGCUAAUACCCGGUUGGGAUGACGGUACCCAAAGAAUAAGCACCGGCUAACUUCGUGCCAGCAGCCGCGGUAA
rnacentral:rRNA from 1 species